GCCAGCAGGAGCUGCUCCCGGUGAGCCCCGCUUCUCCCCGUAACCUAGCCUUGGGUAACAGGCUUCUCCCGGAGGAUCACUGUUCUCAGUCCCUGGCAAGAGCUGGCCCCAUGGGGAGUGUUUUGUUGCCAGUGCCCAGUGCCCAGCAACCAGGCUGGGUUUAGGAAGGAGGCUGGAGUCUCCAGGAGGAAGGUCCUGCCCAAGAUGGAGCAGAGGAGAUGGAAUUUCACCAUGGUGCCCAGGCUGGUCCUGAACUCCUGACUUCAAGUGAUCCACCUGCCUCGGCCUCCCAAAAUACUGGCAUUACAGAUGGAGUUUCACUCUUCUUACCCAGGCUGGAGCACAGUGGCACGAUCUCAACUCACUACAACCUCUGCCUCCCAGAUUCAAGCAAGUCUCCUCCCUCAGCCUCCUGCACAGCUGGGAUGACAGGCUCCUGCCAUCAUGCCCAGCUAAUUUUUGUAUUUUUAGUGGAGAUGGGGUUUCACCAUGUUGGCCAGGUUGGCCUCAACUCCUGACCUCAGGUGACCCUCCUGCCUUGGCCUCCCAAAGUGUUGGGAUUACAGGUGUGAGCCACCGUGCUGAAGAGGAAAUUUGGACACCCAGAGAGACACCAGGGGUGCACAUGCACAGAGGAAAGGCCAUGUGAGGAUGUCAGGAAACAACCAGACAUUUGCAAGCUGAGAAGACAGGCCUCGGGGGAAAGCAACCCACCAACACAUUGAUCUUGGACUUCCAGUCUCCAGAACAGUGAGAAAAUACAUUUCUGUUGUUCGCACUGCCCGGUCUGUGGUGUUUGUUAUGGCAGCCCGAGCCGACUGAUACAGCCAGGAUGAAGCUGGAGUUUCUAGUUUGCACAGCCAGGAGGGCAGGUACCAUGUCUUGAAGGGGGAGUGAUGUGGUUUGGAUCUGUGUCCCCGUCCAAAUCUCAGGUUGAAUUGUAAUACCCAGUGUUGGAGAUGGGGCCUGGUGGGAGUGAUGGGUCAUGGGGGUGAAUUUCUCAGCAAUGGUUUAGCACCAUCCCCGUGGUGCUGCCCUCAUGGUAGUGAGUGUGUUCUCGGGAGAUCUGGUCCUUUAAAAUUAUGCCACAUAUGUGCAAACUCCUGCUUUGCCUUCCACUAUGACUGGAAGUUUCCUGAGGCCUCCCCAGAAGCAGAUGCCAGCACUAUGCUUCCUGUAUAGCCUACAGAACCAUGAGCCAAUUAAACCAAUUAAACCUCUUUUCUUUGUAAAUUA